AUUGAACGCUGGCGGCAGGCCUAACACAUGCAAGUCGAGCGAGCGGCGGACGGGUGCGUAAUGUCUGGGAAACUGCCUGAUGGAGGGGGAUAACUACUGGAAACGGUAGCUAAUCCCGCAUACCAUCAGAUGUGCCCAGAUGGGAUUAGCUAGUAGGUGGGGUAACGGCUCACCUAGGCGACGAUCCCUAGCGGGUCUGAGAGGAUUCCCAGCCACACUGGAACUGAUACGCGGCCCAGACUCCUACGGGAGGCAGCAGUGGGGAAUAUUGCACUAUGGGCGCAAGCCUGAUGCAGCCAUGCCGCGUGUGUGAAGAAGUCCCUGGGGUUUGAAAGCACUUUCGGCGGGGAGGCGUUACCCGCAGAAGAAGCACCGGCUAACUCCGUGCCAGCAGCCGCGGUAAUAC
rnacentral:rRNA from 1 species